rnacentral:lncRNA from 1 species
CUCUUUUGGUCUUUCUGGGCUUAUGUUUGGUUAUACAUUAUCCUAGAGAUAAUAUGCCAUUUUUGUUUCAUCAUUAUUUGCUUUGGUUUGAACAUUCAAUUGGUUUAGAUUCUGCAUCUUCAUAACUUGUUCUUUAUGCAGGGUUCCCGAUGCAGGUAAUGGCAUUGUCAUACGAACUCCCUCUGAGAUUUUCAGUGGCAGAAACUUGAUACAAAGCCAAAAUCAGUUACAAUAUUUCAUUUCAGGGGUUCAAGGCUUGCUUCAUGUAAAAGAGACGAUCUCCCUAAUUCAUCGACUGCAAACACUAAUGAGUCUGAGCCAUUCUCUGCUGCAAGGUGUCGCAUCUUCAAAAGAUCAAUCACUAAUGUUAAUUUGUUGGGUUAUGUUUUGAAUUUGAAUUUAUUUUUGUUGUUUGAUCCCAAAUAUUUGAAUUUGAAUUUAAAUUUGAAUUAUUAAU